CACAUGCAAGUCGAACGCUGAAGCCAGAAGCUUGCUUCUGGUGGAUGAGUGGCGAACGGGUGAGUAACACGUGAGUAACCUGCCCCCGAUUUCGGGAUAAGCCCGGGAAACUGGGUCUAAUACCGGAUACGACCUGCCCUCGCAUGAGGGUUGGUGGAAAGUUUUUCGAUCGGGGAUGGGCUCGCGGCCUAUCAGCUUGUUGGUGGGGUAAUGGCCUACCAAGGCGACGACGGGUAGCCGGCCUGAGAGGGCGACCGGCCACACUGGGACUGAGACACGGCCCAGACUCCUACGGGAGGCAGCAGUGGGGAAUAUUGCACAAUGGGGGAAACCCUGAUGCAGCGACGCAGCGUGCGGGAUGACGGCCUUCGGGUUGUAAACCGCUUUCAGCAGGGAAGAAGCCGUAAGGUGACGGUACCUGCAGAAGAAGUACCGGCUAACUACGUGCCAGCAGCCGCGGUAAUACGUAGGGUACGAGCGUUGUCCGGAAUUAUUGGGCGUAAAGAGCUCGUAGGUGGUUGGUCACGUCUGCUGUGGAAACGCAACGCUUAACGUUGCGCGUGCAGUGGGUACGGGCUGACUAGAGUGCAGUAGGGGAGUCUGGAAUUCCUGGUGUAGCGGUGAAAUGCGCAGAUAUCAGGAGGAACACCGGUGGCGAAGGCGGGACUCUGGGCUGUAACUGACACUGAGGAGCGAAAGCAUGGGGAGCGAACAGGAUUAGAUACCCUGGUAGUCCAUGCCGUAAACGUUGGGCACUAGGUGUGGGGGACAUUCCACGUUCUCCGCGCCGUAGCUAACGCAUUAAGUGCCCCGCCUGGGGAGUACGGUCGCAAGGCUAAAACUCAAAGGAAUUGACGGGGGCCCGCACAAGCGGCGGAGCAUGCGGAUUAAUUCGAUGCAACGCG
rnacentral:rRNA from 1 species